rnacentral:rRNA from 1 species
GAUGAACGCUGGCGGCGUGCCUAAUACAUGCAAGUCGAGCGAACAGACGAGUAGCUUGCUCCUCUGACGUUAGCGGCGGACGGGUGAGUAACACGUGGAUAACCUACCUAUAAGACUGGGAUAACUUCGGGAAACCGGAGCUAAUACCGGAUAAUAUAUUGAACCGCAUGGUUCAAUAGUGAAAGACGGUUUUGCUGUCACUUAUAGAUGGAUCCGCGCCGCAUUAGCUAGUUGGUAAGGUAACGGCUUACCAAGGCAACGAUGCGUAGCCGACCUGAGAGGGUGAUCGGCCACACUGGAACUGUGACACGGUCCAGACUCCUACGGGAGGCAGCAGUAGGGAAUCUUCCGCAAUGGGCGAAAGCCUGACGGAGCAACGCAGCGUGAGUGAUGAAGGUCUUCGGAUCGUAAAACUCUGUUAUUAGGGAAGAACAAAUGUGUAAGUAACUAUGCACGUCUUGACGGUACCUAAUCAGAAAGCCACGGCUAACUACGUG